rnacentral:rRNA from 1 species
UCGUACGCUUCUUUUUCCACCGGAGCUUGCUCCACCGGAAAAAGAAGAGUGGCGAACGGGUGAGUAACACGUGGGUAACCUGCCCAUCAGAAGGGGAUAACACUUGGAAACAGGUGCUAAUACCGUAUAACAAUCGAAACCGCAUGGUUUUGAUUUGAAAGGCGCUUUCGGGUGUCGCUGAUGGAUGGACCCGCGGUGCAUUAGCUAGUUGGUGAGGUAACGGCUCACCAAGGCCACGAUGCAUAGCCGACCUGAGAGGGUGAUCGGCCACAUUGGGACUGAGACACGGCCCAAACUCCUACGGGAGGCAGCAGUAGGGAAUCUUCGGCAAUGGACGAAAGUCUGACCGAGCAACGCCGCGUGAGUGAAGAAGGUUUUCGGAUCGUAAAACUCUGUUGUUAGAGAAGAACAAGGAUGAGAGUAACUGUUCAUCCCUUGACGGUAUCUAACCAGAAAGCCACGGCUAACUACGUGCCAGCAGCCGCGGUAAUACGUAGGUGGCAAGCGUUGUCCGGAUUUAUUGGGCGUAAAGCGAGCGCAGGCGGUUUCUUAAGUCUGAUGUGAAAGCCCCCGGCUCAACCGGGGAGGGUCAUUGGAAACUGGGAGACUUGAGUGCAGAAGAGGAGAGUGGAAUUCCAUGUGUAGCGGUGAAAUGCGUAGAUAUAUGGAGGAACACCAGUGGCGAAGGCGGCUCUCUGGUCUGUAACUGACGCUGAGGCUCGAAAGCGUGGGGAGCAAACAGGAUUAGAUACCCUGGUAGUCCACGCCGUAAACGAUGAGUGCUAAGUGUUGGAGGGUUUCCGCCCUUCAGUGCUGCAGCUAACGCAUUAAGCACUCCGCCUGGGGAGUACGACCGCAAGGUUGAAACUCAAAGGAAUUGACGGGGGCCCGCACAAGCGGUGGAGCAUGUGGUUUAAUUCGAAGCAACGCGAAGAACCUUACCAGGUCUUGACAUCCUUUGACCACUCUAGAGAUAGAGCUUCCCCUUCGGGGGCAAAGUGACAGGUGGUGCAUGGUUGUCGUCAGCUCGUGUCGUGAGAUGUUGGGUUAAGUCCCGCAACGAGCGCAACCCUUAUUGUUAGUUGCCAUCAUUUAGUUGGGCACUCUAGCAAGACUGCCGGUGACAAACCGGAGGAAGGUGGGGAUGACGUCAAAUCAUCAUGCCCCUUAUGACCUGGGCUACACACGUGCUACAAUGGGAAGUACAACGAGUCGCGAAGUCGCGAGGCUAAGCUAAUCUCUUAAAGCUUCUCUCAGUUCGGAUUGUAGGCUGCAACUCGCCUACAUGAAGCCGGAAUCGCUAGUAAUCGCGGAUCAGCACGCCGCGGUGAAUACGUUCCCGGGCCUUGUACACACCGCCCGUCACACCACGAGAGUUUGUAACACCCGAAGUCGGUGAGGUAACCUUUUGGAGCCAGCCGCCUAAGGUGGGAUAGAUGA